UCCAAGUGGCGGGAGGAUAUCUCUAAACUGGAAUGAGACCCACAGUUGGAGAUUUUGGGCAGGACGGCCUUGACACCAGGACAGGUGCUGGCAACGGACAAACUCCUCGCCGGAAGAAAGGGAAACCGCUGGACUGUGGUUUACCCUCGUUUCCUGGUAUCUUUGCUAAACUCCCUUUCCCUGCGGGCUUUGCUGAGCAAGAGAGCCCUGCUGCAGAGGUGGCAAGAGGGAGGUGACAUCAGAGGCCCAACCAUCACUCCCAAGAAGAGGAGGCUCAGAAUUUCUGUCCUCAGUCCUAAGACCACAGCAUGCAGUUGGAGUAAUCCCUUCUCACUGUAACCUGCCAUGACCCCCACAUUGUUCGGUGUGAUGCUUUGCCUGCUAAGAGCAGACCUAACAGAUGCUGGCAUUACCCAGACACCUAGCUACUGGAUCACACAGACAGGAAGAAAGAUGACCCUGGAAUGCUCCCAGAAUAUGAACCACUAUUGGAUGUUCUGGUAUCGACAAGAUGCAGGACAGGGGUUGAAGCUGAUCCAUUACUCAGGAAGUGUUGGCAGCACUGACAAAGGAGAUGUCCCCGAAGGGUACAGUGUUUCCAGAAACAAGAGUGAGGAUUUCCCCCUGACAUUAGAGUCGACCAGGCCCAGCCAGACCUCCAUGUACUUCUGUGCCAGCAGCGAACACAGCACUGUAUGGCCAGGUGUUGCCUGCACAAGAAGGACAACCACGAGGUUGAGGACCCUCCUUCCUCAGCUCCUGCGCCAACCAAAAGAAAGGUCUGAACUUCCUGAAGCUCUUGCUACCCAGAGGGACCUUGUGCAGCAUGAGUCUUAGUGUGAGCCGAGGGUCCUUAAGUGUGUAAAUCCAAAUGAUAUUGGAUAUUACCUUUUCCAAUUUGGAGUCGUCUAGUAACUGAGUAGAGGAUAUCAGCUUCCAACAUGACAUUUGUAUUUUGUUUUCUUUGCAAAAGAGGAAAACAACAUAGAAAGUAUUAGAGCACUCUGAAUGUCUCAAAUCAUCUGGGAUUCUCCAAGUUCAAAGCUAGUGCAAAAUGUCACUUUGGCCUCGAGUCCAUCAAAUCCACCCUUAUUCCUCUGCAGAAAACAGUAUUAAUGUAAGUUAAAAAUAUACAAGUCAACAGACCUCAAGCUGGAGAAUUACUGAAGAGAGAACAAACUAAGGACCCAUGGAGACAGAACGAUGUGUUUAGUCUUACUCAGGCAUAUCCAGACAGGAAAUUAAUAGUUAAUUUCUUUGUGUUGAAUUAAAAUAUGUGAAGAUGUCAA